AUUUGGUCCUAAAAUUCUAGGUAAAAGAUGUAUUUUGAAACAUGUUUCUAAAUUGGCCAAUGGAGAAGAGCAAAAAUACUUUAAAAUUAAAGCUCUUAAAGCUUUUUCAUAUUCACUUGAUAGCUCUUUCUCAUCCAAUUGACAAAAUGAGAAUUAAAUGUAAGUAAGCAGGCUGGGGGUGGUGGCUCACACCUGUAAUCCCAGCACUUGGGAAGGCCAAGGUGGCGGGGGAUCAUUUGAGCCCAGGAGUUUGAGACCAGCCUGGGCAACAUAGCAAGACCUUGUCUCUAUAAAAAAUAAAAAUUGAAAAAAAUUAAAAAUAAAUAUAAGUAACCACCAACAGUUUUAUCUAGCUUUAAGUGAUUUCUCACCAUUUCUUGGUUUCCUGCAGGGGUAGAUUCAGGAAGCAGUUGUUUGGGAGGACGAACCACUGUGGGCAU
rnacentral:lncRNA from 1 species